rnacentral:rRNA from 1 species
AUUGAACGCUGGCGGCAGGCCUAACACAUGCAAGUCGAGCGGAUGAAGGGAGCUUUCUCCUGGAUUCAGCGGCGGACGGGUGAGUAAUGCCUAGGAAUCUGCCUGGUAGUGGGGAAUAACGUCCGGAAACGGGCGCUAAUACCGCAUACGUCCUGAGGGAGAAAGUGGGGGAUCUUCGGACCUCACGCUAUCAGAUGAGCCUAGGUCGGAUUAGCUAGUUGGUGGGGUAAAGGCCUACCAAGGCGACGAUCCGUAACUGGUCUGAGAGGAUGAUCAGUCACACUGGAACUGAGACACGGUCCAGACUCCUACGGGAGGCAGCAGUGGGGAAUAUUGGACAAUGGGCGAAAGCCUGAUCCAGCCAUGCCGCGUGUGUGAAGAAGGUCUUCGGAUUGUAAAGCACUUUAAGUUGGGAGGAAGGGCAGUAAGUUAAUACCUUGCUGUUUUGACGUUACCAACAGAAUAAGCACCGGCUAACUUCGUG